ACGACCUUACUUGAACAGGAUCUGUUCUAUAGGCUCGUACCUCUGUGUCCUUGAUACCUAAGGAGACAGGAACCAAAGUCUGGUGGAUGAACUGUGGCUGUGUGAUCAGAGCGUGAUUAACAGCUCUGGUGGGUUCCCUGGACCUGCCCGUGCUGUAGAGGAUCGUUCCCAGGCGAUGCAAAUUGCCUGAGAUGGUCACGCAGCUGUCUGACAGACU